GCGCGUUGUAGCCAGGCAGAGUUGUAUUAUUGUCAUUGAAUGCAUCCUGGAGGGAAGACAAAUUGCCCAGAAGCCUGGAAAUGCGCACGCGUUGUUCCCUUGCCGAAGCCAGACAAGGAGCUAUGAGCUCUACCAAGCUAGGCCGCCGACUGCGUCGGUUGUCGACAAGCUCCUUCUCUCACCAAGCGUGAAGAGUCAGAAGCAAUAUGAAGUGCCAUACAACUCUGCAUCCACGAUGUAGUACCAAACCUGGAAGUGAUCGGUCACAUGGCACAGUACUUUAAAAAAAUCAUUGGUUAAACCAGAGCAACGAUCCUUCUUGUGAACCAUCUGACAUAAAUAAAUGAACUUGA